UAAGCUUAUGUCUAUCAAUAUUUUUUAUAUUAGUCAGGCAACCUCAAAUCUUAAGAUGUUUAAGAUUGGAUCUCUUUCCUUUCUAUAUCUUAUAUGGAGUGCUAGAGACAGAUUUAGAAGGCACUUUGUUCAAAACAUAUGCUGCGGUCUCGAGAGCAUAUCUCUAAAAAGAUGAUCGAAAGAUCCGUGAAACACAUUAUAGACCGCACUAUAUUUAAUAAGAUGAGAUUUUUUUUCUGUAAUUUCAUUUAAUUAUGGAGUAUAAGGAGGUGUCCA
rnacentral:lncRNA from 1 species